CGUAGGGUGCAAGCGUUGUCCGGAAUUAUUGGGGCGUAAAGAGCUCGUAGGCGGUCUGUCGCGUCUGCUGUGAAAACGUGGGGCGUCAACCCUCGCGCGUGCAGUGGGUACGGGGCGAGACUGGAGUGCAGUAGGGGAGGACUGGAAUUCCUGGUGUAGCGGUGAAAUGCGCAGAUAUCAGGAGGAACACCGGUGGCGAAGGCGGGUCUCUGGGCUGUUACUGACGCUGAGGAGCGAAAGCGUGGGGAGCGAACAGGAUU
rnacentral:rRNA from 1 species